AAUCCAUGAUAAGGACACCUUAUCAGAAGAUCCUUAAAUCUCUCCUAUGCAUCAUACAGUGUCUCAAGCUCAAAUUGAGAAAAAAAAAGAUGUCAUUCCUCAGUUU
rfam:Gossypium arboreum cultivar AKA8401 contig_34174_5, whole genome shotgun sequence.